rnacentral:rRNA from 1 species
UACGUAGGGUGCAAGCGUUAAUCGGAAUUACUGGGCGUAAAGCGUGCGCAGGCGGCUAUGCAAGACAGAUGUGAAAUCCCCGGGCUCAACCUGGGAACUGCAUUUGUGACUGCAUGGCUAGAGUACGGCAGAGGGGGAUGGAAUUCCGCGUGUAGCAGUGAAAUGCGUAGAUAUGCGGAGGAACACCGAUGGCGAAGGCAAUCCCCUGGGCCUGUACUGACGCUGAGACGCGAAAGCGUGGGGAGCGAACAGG